UCCGGGAUCGUCUAAUGGUAGGACGGCGGACUUUGGAUCCGCUAAUGAAGGUUCGAGCCCUUCUCCCGGAACCA
rnacentral:tRNA from 1 species